UAUACUAAAAAAAAAAAAAAAAUUGGAACGAUACAGAGAAGAUUAGUAUGGCCCCUGUGCAAGGAUGACAUGCAAAUUCGUGAAGCGUUCCAUUAAAAA
rnacentral:snRNA from 1 species